GACAGAGGUGCCGAGCGUUAGGCGGAAUCACUGGGCUUAAAGCGUGUGUAGGCGGAUCUGUAAGUACCUUGUGAAAUCCCACGGCUCAACCGUGGAACUGCUUGGUAUACUGCGGGUCUUGAGCCACCUAGGGGCAAGUGGAACAAACGGUGGAGCGGUGAAAUGCGUAGAUAUCGUUUGGAACGCCAACGGUGAAAACAACUUGCUGGGGGUGUGCUGACGCUGAGACACGAAAGCCAGGGGAGCAAACGGG
rnacentral:rRNA from 1 species